GACGGGGAAGGUGGUGGAUGGUCGUGGUUGGCGGUGGAGCUGAGGAAGGUAUGGGAGGCUCCGGGAGCAGACGGCACCCGCGGCGGCCACUGCUCCAUAUCGGUUCCGACGGUGCCUGUUGGCAGGCUGCUGGUUCUCACGGCUGCUUUUCCCCAUUCUUAGGUCGUUGGAUAAGGUGGGGCAAGAGAUAGGCUAAAAGGGUGACAAGGGCGUUGUCUGCAAAUCUGUACAGAGUGGUGGGUGUCUUUUCGUAAAAAUGCCACUGAUUGCUUCAUGUGCGUUAGAUAUAGAUCGAACGAUCCUAAAUGCAAGAUGGCAGGCACACCAUCAUCACCAACUGUGGUUUUUAUAGGAGUAGAGAUUUCUGCAGGUCUAAGUGUGAUGUUUUUAUUUGUGUAGGUGCUUACCCUAUCAUGGGUGAAGAAGCCAUGUCAGUCUUAUGAUUCUUGAUCCUUGAGCUGGGCCUGAGGCACCUGCCCACUGCUGGCCUUCAUGGAUGAGUAAACCGAAUUAACCAUGCAUGCUCAUUGCAAAUUCAUUUUCGGCAUAAUGUUUUCGUUGUGUAUUCUUGGAAAAAAACUUCAAAUUAUGGGUGCCUUUGGACCAUAGAAGCAGCUUAAGUUUAGAGCAUAACCUGCAUGUUAGAGCAGAACUUAUUAUUGGCUACUACUUAUUUCGAGUCUCGUGAAACUCACAUCAUGCCUGUGUGCAAGUGUAGCAGCCAUAGAUGAUGAAUUUAACUCGGCAAUUAUGCUGGAGUGUAAAGUUUGGACCGUAGAAGCAACAUAUGUAGCUUAGAGCAGAAUGUUAUUGGCUACUAAUCUCUACUAUUAAAGCGCAACCUGCAGUCGUCGUGAUGGUUCGACAAA